UCAAACAAUCUGACCUUUCUUGGGGAUUCUGACCAAUCUGCAGUGGAAGACAGCUAAUAUCUUUCAGGAUUUUCCAUGGUUAAGGAACAGCUCCAGAACAUAAAUAUUAUUUGCUGCAUCAAAGGCAGGAAUCCCUGGAAAACCCACCCGUGAUCCUUGAUGUCUUCAUUGGAAAGAUCAUUACUAAAAUGCCAGACCAUAUCUGAAGAUGUUCAGACAUUUGGUUGAGACACCUAGCUCAUGUUUCCCUCUGCCCUGCCACAGCACCCUUGGCCAAUACUGGAGCCCAUUAUGUCAGAACACUUCAUUCCCACUCAUAACUCACAAACUGGCAGUCCACAUUUGCUGUUUUCCUUCUUAGAUAUCAAAGCAAGCCAGUCAGGGCUCACAAAGGAAAGACUGGGUAGAUAAAUGAAGACAGAUUAUCAGAGAGUCCUGUCCCUCAGUGUCCUUCAACCAAUGCAACACUGGAAGAUCAGCAGGAUUGAUAACACAGCAACCCCGAGGGAUGGUUGUGGACACCCUUUAUCUGGGAAAUAACUGCUCAUACUUGGUCAGCUACUUGUGAAAGGCAUGAACUGGUCUGGUACCAAAUCACUGAAAAACUUAAUGUAUUCUUAAGUCACAUAUGUCCCACAAGUGAACUAUGUCCUUGGCAGGAAGCUGAAUCUGAACAGACUUAAACACAUGCUUAAAUAUAAGCACGUGCAUGUCUCACUAAACUGUGGCUGUUUUGACAUUUGUGUUACUACCCACGGUGCCAAGCAGAAGCAUUUACUAGUUUCUUCUCUCUCUCCAUUUACCUAUAUUUUUUGGUCUGGAGUCCAUGUAAAGAGAAGUUGCACGUCAUACCAAGUAGGCACCACUAAUCAGUCUUUCUCAAUAAAGAGAGAAAUUAGGUGAGAAGGACAGCAGUGACUGUGAAAUUGGAGAGAGAUGUUGAUGUCUUAUUUUUAAAGUCCCUAUUUUUUUAAGAAGUCCUGUAUUUUAGCCCUUGGCACCAGUGGUUAUGCAAAAAUAAGGCAUUGCAUUCAGCUACUUUGAGCUAAAGUUUUCUCUAAAAAUUUCCGGUAAGUUAAACUUCAUGGAAAGUCAAGAAUGUUUGUUUCAUGAAUUAAAGGAAAGCUUUCCCCUUUUAAGUAACAAAAACAAGAAAUAAGUUGCUUUUUUCUUGUUUUUUCACCUCAAUAUAUAACAGUUAUGCUGUUGCACUCUCGAAACUUCAUAUGCUUUAUGCAGCUUUUGAGCUGCUAUGAUCUGCCUAAUGACAUUUCAGUCCCGUGUCGGUUUGAAGGCUACAUCUGACACUCAGCCAUAAUUCAUCAGGAUCAGAUGGCAGCCAGUCCUGAAUGCAUCUCCUGAGAUCUGGGACACUUCUCACUCGUCAUGGAGCAAAAACAAUUAUCUGAAGCUACCCACCUGCUCCAGGGCCACUUUGUCAAAUAUGAUACUUCAGAGGUUGAUACCUACCUGUCAUACUGAUUUUUUGGAUGUUGACACAGUGGUGGGAGCGAACAUCUGUUGCUGCUACUCCACUGUGAUCCCAUUUAGACUCUCCAGAAGCAAAGAUGAACACGUUUCAGUGCCUCCCUCCUGUUGGUUCCACCUGAGAAACCCUCUGUGUCUUGUCUGAGCAGAUGAACAGCUGUGACAGAUGACACCUUAUCCUCUUCUCUCUUUGAAAGACCAGUUUAAUUCCCAGCUACUUGCUCACUGAAUCCUCACCACUGGUGGCAUCUCUCUGGGUAUCCAGCUGUGCAUGUGGCCGUUUUCCCAUCCUUUUGUAUUAAUAUCUGAGCACCUAAAUCAAGGGGGGAUUAAACAAUUUGCUUUGUAGCUGAUGGAUACUGUGGGAAAACCAAACAAAAACCUGGCUGCAACUCACAGAGGAAAACUCCAAGGUUGGGUGUCCUAUGGAAUGGGAACAUGCUGAGAUCCUAGGACAGGAUAAGGGACUUUGUCAGUUAGAACAAUGUCCUGGAAGCAAUGGGUUGCUGCCUGCUGUCCUUCCUGCUAUGGCUGUGAGCCUCCUGCAAACCAUUUACAGCAAUGCAGACUGUUCCUUAUCUCUAGCUCAUUAUUCAGGUUUUGGGGCUUUGGGAGGCUUUUUACUUUACUUUACUUCCUACUUUGUUCCAGUUGUGCAAACAAAAAAUAGGUCCCCUAGCAAGGAGUUUCAGUGCAUCUGGGUGAGCUGAAAAAUGGCACAGAAGAACAGAUCCACCACUGUGGGAUGCUGCUGUCAGAGUCAUAGGCAGGGUCAGGGAGGAGAGGUAGGCUGAGUAAUGGACAGAGGACAGUCUUUAUGGUUACAUGCUCACAAUGGAUCUGUGGGAAGCUGCCAGGUUCUGUCCUCACUCUGAAUCUCAGCCUAAAUUACUUUUUAGGGCUGCAAGAGUGAAAACUCAAACCAAAACAGCUAUUCUGUUGGGCUUUAGGCUUAGUUACAAUAUCAGCCUCUCUUUUCCAAAUUGACAGCAAUUAGAGGAGCAUGGCAAAUGCUUUUUCCCCAAUAGCCUCUUGCCUUAAUGAGCACCUCCCCUGCAUCUAACUGAAAAUGUAGCUGGAGAGCUUCUGUGUCAUGCACAAAGCUUACAGACAGUGUCACUCAGUAAGUCAUAAAGACAGCAAUAUAAUCACAGUUACUCUGGGAUAAACGUUUGCUCAGUACAACAGCUUCCAGAAGUUCAAAGCUUUCCAUGAGCAGAAUACAGGAAGGCUGUGUGUAUUAACUAAUCAGUGUUUCAGUCUCUAUGUGAUCAUUUUCUAAAUUACCAUAAAAGUGACACCAAGAGCACAGAAGAUGAAACUCUUCUGUCUGGGUGCUGUAAUCACACUAGAUGCAUCUGAGGAGACUGCAUAGCAAAUGGGCACCCGAGAUGUUAAGUAUCUCUGUUUCCAUCAUUAAACAUCACAAGCUAGUUCCUGUUUCCUUCUCUUUCACCUCUCCUGACACCAUCAGGCUAUUGAUGCAAUGCUGAGUGAUACAAGGCCGCAUGUUACUCUCAGUAGAGAUUAAUUAUUUCCUUUUUUAAGCUUCUGCAACCCCCAUCCCCCUGGGUGUCUCAGCUGGUAAAGCAGCGUGCCAAAAAACUAAUGGGAAGGAGUGAGAUAUGGCAUGACUUUAAGAGAAAAGAAAAUUUUGAGUUUGGAUUUUUACAAGGCACUUUGUUUUUCUGUUUGUUUCAUCCCCUUAAGAAUAUGUUUCUGUGUUUGAAUCUGAAUUCCUUGGUGUGAUUCAUGGUGUAAUUGCUGCAGGAAAUCAGGAGGGGCUGCACCUGUGUUGGACCAUGAGGGAGCACAAAGUGAUGCUGGUUCCUCUCCAUACUGGCUAAUCCCCUUCUGCCUGCUGUGCACAAGCACUGCUACAUGCCUGACACUCCUCCAGCCCUCAGAUUUCCGUUUACAACUGUCUCCAGACUGUUGCAAGAAAAGAUGUUGUAUGGGCAGAAUUUUAUUUCCAUUAGAAUGAAGCCAACUGAGUAUUUCCACCUGCUUUAUUAAAAAUACUAGUUCUUGCUUUGCUUAAUCUUGAAAAACUCAACAUGUUUCUGUAGCUGAGUUUGCAUUUUGUCUUGGUAAUGGAUGCCUAAGGUGCAAUUAUUUUCUGUGGGAGCAAAACAAGGUGUGAUUUAGUGCAUUGCUUCCCAUGGGCAGAGAGUGUCCACGUUGGGAGAGAGAAGCCGAUAGCUCCACAAUUCCCAUCUCCCCAAAAGGGUUGUACUUCACAUUUUUGGCAAGGUGGCCCCUUAAGUCCAACAACAACAGUAGUCAGGGAGAUAGCUUGAGCUGGAGACCUCCUUGUCAUUUCAGCCUUGCCCUUGGGCUCACUGCUCCACUCCCUUAGCAAGUCCAAGCCCUGCAGAGCAUUGUUCUCCCUCCUGGAUGGAUUUCUGUAAUUCCUGCUGUUGACACUCUGCUCAUGAGUGGUGGUCAGCAUUGGUUGCAGACGUUUGCUGGAAGAAGUGAGCACUAAAAUGUUUGCAUUUAAUAGGGCAGGAGGGAUGGGGAGGGAAACUAAUCAGAAGCAGAGGGGUUGGUGUCUGACAUAGAGGCCUGAGGGAGUCAGCUAUGGGUGAACUCUCUGUCUCUGCCCAAAAAAGAGAGUUUCUUCAGGAUUUUUCUUUUCUUGUAUUGCUUUUCCUAUUUCCCUUUUGUUUUCUCAGAAAUAGAACAUGACAUUUAUUUUUAUGGACGGCAUGAGCUUAUGGCUUUUCCCCUGGGACUGGGUAAUCUGAACACAAUUAUGUUCUGUUGACAAAAAGUGAUAAAAGUGUAUUGUGUCAACACUCUCAACUAACAGAAUUGUCAUCUGCUGUACUCUAAGAUAAUAGAAAUAGAAUUAGAAAAUGCUUUGACAGACUCUGUCCUCUUCCAUGGGAAGGUAAGCCCCCGCUCUGUGUUUGGUUACUGUACCCCAGCAUUCCCCUUUUUCCAGCAAAAUCUGCCAGGCUGUGUUUUAAAUUCAAGUCUAAAGUUUGCUUUGAUGGACUUCUUUUGGCAGCUUAUAGUGCAUAUGCCUUGAAGUAAUCUGACCUAAGUUCUCCAUUUCACUGCAGCUCUACUAUUCCCACUUUUUACCCUGGCUUUGGAAAAUCCAGCUGUUUUGUGUAUUAUUUUUCUUUUGCCAUGGAAAUUUCCUUCUAGAAAAUGUAUUUGAUGAUAGUACCUUCAUCACACCUUCCCUCCAGCUAACUUCUUCAUGAGUUCAUGGGCAGUGGUCCACCUGGACUGUUGUUUUCCUGGGACAGGCAUCCACAUUCACCCGGUAUGUAGGGCCAGCACUAAGCACAUGCAAUUUUAAGUGGAAAGAGGUGUGUACCUUCUUAAAUCACCACACCAUCCUAGGUUAGAGGGCAAGCCUGCACUUCCAGCUCUUGGUUAUUUGGAAGAUAAUUACUGUUUCAGAGCUCAAAGAAUGGUAUCCUUCAAGCAAAACAGAAAAA